rnacentral:rRNA from 1 species
CAGCAGCCACGGUAAUACGAAGGGUGCAAGCGUUACUCGGAAUUACUGGGCGUAAAGCGUGCGUAGGUGGUGGUUUAAGUCCGUUGUGAAAGCCCUGGGCUUAACCUGGGAAUUGCAGUGGAUACUGGAUCACUAGAGUGUGGUAGAGGAUAGUGGAAUUUCCGGUGUAGCAGUGAAAUGCGUAGAGAUCGGAAGGAACAUCUGUGGCGAAGGCGACUAUCUGGGCCAACACUGACACUGAGGCACGAAAGCGUGGGGAGCAAACAGGAUUAGAUACCCGCGUAGUCCCUGUCUCUUAUAC